ensembl:lncRNA
CCUGGUGGGUAUAAAGAUAUAGCAAUUUCAGUGAGGUCUGUCACUGUGAAGAACCAUUCUUUUUGUUUUUACCUCUCUGCACAGUGGAGUGCUUGUCCACGGAGUGAUGACACGAAGUGAACUCUUUCCUACCAGUUGUCUGGAAGACACAGCAGCCUUUGUGUUGUGAAGGAGAACGAAAACCAGAAGUCCACAUCCACUGCUGGUGAGCUACUAUGCUUUUAGAUAUUAUGAUGCUGUGGAUAUUUUGAGGAAGAGGAUUAUGAAAACAUUCCCGGGUUAUUUCUGCCAAAACACCCUUUCCACAUGAAAGGUGAAAUUCAUCUCAAGUGUGGCAAGAGUGUCAGUCAGUGGUGUCAUGGCUGAUAUUUUAAGGUCAGUGUGAGUUCUUAACCUUGUCUGGUCUUGUAAAAUCCCUGAGGGCCAUUUCCCUCUCUCCCAGUUUUCUUUCACUGUCUGACUACCUAUUGUUUUGAGAUGUGGGGUUCUGUGCCUUUCUGGAAUCAUCAUUGUUUUUCUGUCAAGGUGAUGAACACCACUGUGUGUUAAGAGACAUCCAGAGAAGGUGAUACACCUUCUGGGAGAGCACAGACAAUUGUUUGUCUGGGGACAAGUGGUGUGAGGAGUGAACUUAUAGAUGUGCAUUAAAUAAAGGAUGAAAGGGGGGCAUGGAAAACAGAUAUCAUCAUUGAGUGGUUCUAUGAGGAUCCCUCACCCCUUUGUGGGGAAAAAAUGCCUUGUAAACUGCCCUUUUAAUCCUUUUUAGACUGGAACUACUAUGACUACAACAUUGCUCUGGCUUGGCUGUAUCAGGAGUGAUAAUGACAGAGCAGAUCAUACCUCCAAAUCUCAAAAUGGAGGUUUUAUAUUGACCUGUAGAGAGUGGCGGAUUCAUUUCAAAGGCUGUUACUAUGCUUGUGAAUUCAGCCCAGGAGGUACGAAAAUAGGCACUGACAUCGGUGGGCAUUUAGUUCCAAGGUGCCACUUCUGGAAAGAGACAAUAUGAUGAAGGGGCUUGUGCCCUAUACGACACGCAUGCACAACACCAGUGAGAGGUCAAUAACAAUAUAACGAAGGAGUAGUUAAUAACAUUAGGGUUGCAAUAGUUUUAUUUUGUGAGAAUGGCAGUUGAAUGCCACAGGCAAUGGAGACACUCGUGUUGCUUCAAAAUAGCUUCCAGUGGUUCAAGGCAGAAGUAGGCUGGCUCAGGCUAACUGGCAGAAGCUAACCACAUUAAGCCUGUUCCCCUGGUUCAUAAAUGAAUUUGUAUAGGUUAACCUUCUAAAGCCUGCCCACCUGGUUCAAAUACUUUGGGUGAAUUGCGUUAAACUCUCUCCUCAACAUUUUACCCGGCCAGUUGCUAGCACUAGCCUACAGGAAUUAGCUAGUUGCUAACAUAUGCAAACAUUUAAACUGGUGACAACUUAUUACAUUAUUUAUUUUUAGAUAAAUACUACCACAACCAGAAACCAUAUGUUCACCAUAAAUGUGUGCUAUAAAUGUAGACUUUGAAGUGAUGUUUUAUAUUUUAACAGAUGUUACCGGAGAAUUUGUAGCAACUGUUUUACCUUGUCAAAGAUUAUAUAUGAUGUGUGGUAAGUAAGUAAAGUAGUUCAUUUUAGCAAGGUAGCCAUCCUUCCUGGAUCAUUUAAUACAGUAAAUUCAUUUCCAAAGUAUUUCAUUGACCAAGUACUUUUUCACCUUGGGAAUUUUGUAGAACAACUAAAUUAUUCUUGUUAAGCAGCUGGUAUUUUAUACACCCCGAUAGCAUAUCCGUCCAUUGGUCUGACUCCCGUUUUUGGUGUGUCACGUCUGUCAGACCACUACACAUUAAGCACUCAUAUCAGUGCAGGGUAGAAAAAACAAGCCUGACAUGAGUGAGUGCCAGAGAUGGUAUUCUAUGGA